rnacentral:rRNA from 1 species
AUUGAACGCUGGCGCAGGCCUAACACAUGCAAGUCGAGCGGAUGAAGGGAGCUUGCUCCUGGAUUCAGCGGCGGACGGGUGAGUAAUGCCUAGGAAUCUGCCUGGUAGUGGGGGAUAACGUCCGGAAACGGGCGCUAAUACCGCAUACGUCCCGAGGGAGAAAGUGGGGGAUCUUCGGACCUCACGCUAUCAGAUGAGCCUAGGUCGGAUUAGCUAGUUGGUGGGGUAAAGGCCUACCAAGGCGACGAUCCGUAACUGGUCUGAGAGGAUGAUCAGUCACACUGGAACUGAGACACGGUCCAGACUCCUACGGGAGGCAGCAGUGGGGAAUAUUGGACAAUGGGCGAAAGCCUGAUCCAGCCAUGCCGCGUGUGUGAAGAAGGUCUUCGGAUUGUAAAGCACUUUAAGUUGGGAGGAAGGGCAGUAAGUUAAUACCUUGCUGUUUUGACGUUACCAACAGAAUAAGCACCGGCUAACUUCGUG